rnacentral:lncRNA from 1 species
AUGCCCCUGAAUGAGCAAGAACAGUUUCUCAGCCACAGGUUCACUUCCUUGAAAGUGAAGAAAGUGAAAGAAACCUUUCUUGACUACUCCAUGGGCAAUAACAACCCCACCUACUCUUUUUUCUUAACAGGAAUUAGUUUAUUCAUGGAUGCUCAGGUUCAACAGGAGAUGAGAGAGGAACAAGGAGAUGAUGGAGCAAUGGGAGACAGAACAGGAGGAUGUGAUUGAUUGUGUCAACAACAAAAGUGAACUUGAAGAAGAAGAUGAGAACAGAGCCAAGCAGUUAAGAUGCCUCAGUACAGCACGGGAGAAAUGAUCUUUACACACAACUUUGAUUUCCAUGGGACACAUACUGUGAUUUUUACUUGGAGAAUAACCAAAAUUGGAAACAAGAGAAUCCACCUUACUCCAUGUGGUCACAGUCCUCCAGGGAAGUAUAACUUAGUCCAUGAAAUAAAAUCCUUUUAGUCUAAACUGAGUAUGCUGGU